UUCCACAGAGUGGAGAUUAUGCUGUAAAGGUUGUCGGGCAAGGAUUAAUGAACAACCUUGCACUCGGCAUCCAUUAAAGUCACACCUUACGUUUUGUAUGCUUUUAUAUGGAAAACAUAUUUGUUGGUAAAGUGAGUUUCUGCUACGUCUAUGUGUCUUUUUUAGGUAGUACUUCGAGUUCUUGUUUGUGAGUCAAUAUUCCGUUUGAAUUCCAGAGUAGAACUGUGAGCGGAUUGAAAGGUGAGAAGGAACAUGAGGGGGAGUGAUCAAUGAUUUAAAAUCGUUAAGGAAAGAAGUAAGGUGGGAAAUGAUAUCUGUUGAUGGGGCUGGUGAGGUAGUUGGUAUGUAGUUGGGUGCAGGGUAGCUACUUGAGCAUAGCUGGAAUUGCGAUGAAUUUCCCCAGAUAAGUGUUGAUGUUGUUGGGGCAGAGGUGAGGACUUCUGUGACUGUUUUCCCAGUGUUCCUGCUUGCUGGAUAUGGUGCUGUCGGGUUGGUGUUUCUUUGGGGUGGGAGUCCUGGAAAGAAGGUUGAUGUCAUCGUUGGGGUUCUGGAACUGUUGCCGCUUUAACUUUGGGAGUCUCCUGUCUCAGCUUUCUCUGGUUUUGUAGUUCUUUGUGAGUGGUGUAUCCAGGAUGUGCCCCGCCGCAUAGAGCACGAGUCGCAGGUGUAUUAAGUGGUCUAGUGCAUUGUGUAGAUUGGUGUGAGCCUCUCCACCUGACACAUCAGGGUGAUUACAAUAGGUGCGUGUGUGCUCAUAAUCCUGGCAUCUGUAGCACUGAACGACUUUCGUGCACAUUCUAGGUUCCUCCGCGUUGAUUUUUUUAGAAGGUACUGAAGCUGGAAUAUAUCCUCACUAUUUUUGUAAGGUCUACAAAAAAUAGGGGAAGUGGCGUUUUAGAGCUAGGGUGUAAUACUCGAUGCACAAAAUCACUUGGAAUGUUUUUUUUUCUGUACAUAAAAAUUUCACUUUUUUCCGAUAACUUUCGCUGUCAUAUGUGUGGAGCAACAAGUCAUUUACUCGGGAGCGACAAUAAAAUUUGUCGCUACCAAGUACGGCGGUUAAGUAUUGACAAAAUCGGUUAAAAUUGUCUGUUUUUUUAAUGUUUGGAGGAAUUGCAGAGCUGGCACUCUCUACACCUUUUAAUAUUUUCAUUUUUGGGGAAUUUGUAGUGCUGCUGGUUUUUUUACAGGGUUUUUUCCGUGGUUCCCUAGUCUUGCCCGCCGAGGAUGUGACUCACCCCAGGCAUUCAAAACCGGAGUCUAAUCCUCAGGGAGUGAACAGUCAACUCCAAGAGACGAUCCGGAACAGAAGCAACUGCACUCCGUCUGGGAAUCAACAAGGGUACUCAGCCAGCCAGAGCCAGCGAGGACCAGCCUUUGCGACCCAUCGAACCAAGUCGACGGUCGAGAGAACAAACGGACCUGGGGAUGCGGUGGACACUAAUCGUGGCGAGCGUCGUUUGGGUGGGGUUGUGAUCGGUAGAGGUGGGAGUAGGCGGAGGCGGAGGCGAAGGCGGGUUUGCCGUUAGACCCCAUGAAGGUGAGUUAAGACAGCAGAAAACAUAUCUCAACCGUUUGAUCCUGCGCUAACAGUAGAACGCUUGCGAAAGGAGGAGUUACAGGAAGCGAAAAAGUAUCCGAGAUUGUUUUUUACUAUAAAAACAACCACUAACAUCCCGACCCACAACAUUAUUGUACUGUUAACACCAG
rnacentral:lncRNA from 1 species